AACUCGAAGAUUCAAAAAGAAGCACGAAAAAGGGCACUCGGUAGAAAAAUAGAAAGAAAAAAAAGAAAACCGAGCAAACAAAAGAAACAAACACAGUAUAUAACAUCGAUUCUGAACCAAAAACCCACUUAUUUCCCGUUUUUGUUUGAAUAUCCACACCCUAACCCAAGCUAAGUUACAACCUGAAAAAGAGACUAUUCAAACUUGCGAGUUGAUAUUGCAUAUUCUGAAUUAUGAGUGCAGAUACUUAACCCCAAGAGAAUUGGUGAGAAUGUGAUUUAAGCUGACAGGUGAAACGGUAUUUUGAAGUGGAAGUGAGAUUGAAAACUUACAAGGAAAAAGUAGGACUUAUGGAAGGAAAAGGAAAGACGUUAGCGAAUGAUCUCAGCAGUGGUGGGAAACAUAAAGAAUUCGGGGGAGUGACAGUGUUGUCUGAAACAUUACUUGCGGACAAGCAAUGAGCUAAGUUUGGGGUUGUGAUCAGUCACCAUUUGCAUAAAGUUUUCGUUACUGAUCCGACAAGAAAUUGAGGCUUUUGAAACACUGUGCAAGCAUUUUUUUUAUACUUUUCGAGUCAAUUUUACUUCCGAUAUUAUAUUUAAGAAUUUUCAAUCAUUGUUAUAUUUUAAUUUUAUUUUCGUGAUUUUAUGCGUGGGAUAGCUGUGUUUUUG
rnacentral:lncRNA from 1 species